AGGAGUUGCUCUGCCUUGCUCGCUUUACCGCUGGCUAGGUGGGGAUGAGAAACCAGUUCUCGGGUCUCCCGGCUUCGGCUUGCUUGCCCUGUGGGUGAGUGGGCUGAGGUCGGGUGAGCCUUGCAGCCUGAGCCUGUCUGCUCGGUGCUGAUCACGCCAUGUCCGGCCUGGUCGGAGCCCUCGGCUCUCCAGGCUCGCUGGCGGCCCUCGGUGGGGUGCGGAUCGUGAUGAUGAUGAAUCUUCGUCGUCGUUGCCCUCCGUGUUCCGCCUUGGGUUUGAAUGUGCACCUGCCCCCCCCCCAGUGGAGGGUUGUGAAAAGGAAAUGAGAGAGGUGAUAGAGUUUCUUAACCGUGGUGCUUUGGUGAGGUGGAUGGUCGGCCCCUCUGGCUUCGUUUCGUUGCCGGUGUGGUCGGUGUUCCCCCUCUCCUUUGCUCCUGAACAAAGAAAAUAUCACACCGUACAGUGGAUCACUUGGCUCGGGGGUCGAUGAAGAACGCAGCUAGCUGCGAGUCGGAAUGUGAACUGCAGGACAUAUGGAGCAUCGACACUUUGAACGCACAUUGCGGACAUGGGCUUGUCCCCUGUCCAUGUCUGGCUCAGGGUCGGCUUUACAUCCAUCCAGCUUUAUUGCUGGCCUUGGGGUUUGUCUCCUCGGCUUCAGUGCUGAGGAGUCCCCCGAAGAUGUGCCGCCUGCCUAGCCGGAGGUGAGCUCCUUGCUGACUCUUGGGUGUGACUCUGCGUCUGCCUGGGUUGGCGAACUAAAAGGGGGCUUGCUUCUGGUGGUAGGCUUGCGGGAGGGGGGGUUUCUGGUUCCCCCGCCCGAACUGGGUGGCGAUGGACGGUUGGUUGGCUGGCUGGCCUCUCGUGUGGCUGGCUGGCUGGCCACCCUUCUUCGCUGCCUUGCUGUUU
rnacentral:rRNA from 1 species